rnacentral:rRNA from 1 species
GAGUCGUUGAUUUCACACUGCCGAGAAAAGCCUCUAGAUAGAAAAUAGGUGCCCGUACCGCAAACCGACACAGGUAGUCAAGAUGAGAAUUCUAAGGUGAGCGAGCGAACUCUCGUUAAGGAACUCGGCAAAAUGACCCCGUAACUUCGGGAGAAGGGGUGCUCUUUAGGGUUAACGCCCAGAAGAGCCGCAGUGAAUAGGCCCAAGCGACUGUUUAUCAAAAACACAGGUCUCUGCUAAACCGUAAGGUGAUGUAUAGGGGCUGACGCCUGCCCGGUGCUGGAAGGUUAAGAGGAGUGGUUAGCUUCUGCGAAGCUACGAAUCGAAGCCCCAGUAAACGGCGGCCGUAACUAUAACGGUCCUAAGGUAGCGAAAUUCCUUGUCGGGUAAGUUCCGACCCGCACGAAAGGCGUAACGAUUUGGGCACUGUCUCAACGAGAGACUCGGUGAAAUCAUAGUACCUGUGAAGAUGCAGGUUACCCGCGACAGGACGGAAAGACCCCGUGGAGCUUUACUGUAGCCUGAUAUUGAAAUUCGGCACAGCUUGUACAGGAUAGGUAGGAGCCUUUGAAACGUGAGCGCUAGCUUACGUGGAGGCGCUGGUGGGAUACUACCCUAGCUGUGUUGGCUUUCUAACCCGCACCACUUAUCGUGGUGGGAGACAGUGUCAGGCGGGCAGUUUGACUGGGGCGGUCGCCUCCUAAAAGGUAACGGAGGCGCUCAAAGGUUCCCUCAGAAUGGUUGGAAAUCAUUCAUAGAGUGUAAAGGCAUAAGGGAGCUUGACUGCGAGACCUACAAGUCGAGCAGGGUCGAAAGACGGACUUAGUGAUCCGGUGGUUCCGCAUGGAAGGGCCAUCGCUCAACGGAUAAAAGCUACCCCGGGGAUAACAGGCUUAUCUCCCCCAAGAGUUCACAUCGACGGGGAGGUUUGGCACCUCGAUGUCGGCUCAUCGCAUCCUGGGGCUGUAGUCGGUCCCAAGGGUUGGGCUGUUCGCCCAUUAAAGCGGUACGCGAGCUGGGUUCAGAACGUCGUGAGACAGUUCGGUCCCUAUCCGUCGUGGGCGUAGGAAAUUUGAGAGGAGCUGUCCUUAGUACGAGAGGACCGGGAUGGACAUACCUCUGGUGUACCAGUUGUCGUGCCAACGGCAUAGCUGGGUAGCUAUGUGUGGACGGGAUAAGUGCUGAAAGCAUCUAAGCAUGAAGCCCCCCUCAAGAUGAGAUUUCCCAACUUCGGUUAUAAGAUCCCUCAAAGAUGAUGAGGUUAAUAGGUUCGAGGUGGAAGCAUGGUGACAUGUGGAGCUGACGAAUACUAA